AUUAAUUCAAAGAAAUGGAUUAAAGUUUUGCCCUCAUGAAUUUGGACAUGACCCCAGAUACUGUUUGUGUACUUUACUGGGAUUCCUUGGUACAGCUUUAUAAUUCUGGAAUGACUCUUACUGCUUCUGUCUUUGGAGCAUGGCUGUGCAUAUGAAGCUACUGAGAAGAGUGGCCAAAGCAAUUUGGAAGGAAUGACUCUUCACAAGAUUUAGUUCCGUCUCAUACUUCCAGGGCUGGUGAAAGGAAAUCUCUCAUUUCUAAAAGAGAAUUUCAGCUGUUCUGAAGCCUGCAGAUGCUGAAUAAGUACCUACAAGCAAAAAAAAAAAAAUCUUGACCUCUAUCUUGUAUCCUUUAUUACCUCAAAAAUUUGGAUAUAAUCAUUUAGGGAAGGUUGGCAAAACAAGGUUUAUUGGCCCUAAAUUUACCUAGCCUAUCUCAUUCUUCUUCAAGAUUGAGGACACCAAGAUAAGAGUAACUAAAAUAAUUCUCAGGGGCAUCAGCUUGAACAACAUCCAGUUUCAGAUCCUCUCCCUGCAGCAACACCCAGAGGUUUCCAGCAUUGUCCUAAACCUCGCAGACCACUCCGUGAUGAGAUCAACUUCUGAAGCAAGAACAGUCAUCUUAUGGGAACCAAAUUGCCCCUCAAACCAUGAUGAUUCCUCUUGAACUAGAAAGCAGGACCUCAGCCCACCACAUCACCCUGUAAAAUUGGUCUCCAUUCUUUUAUGAAGGGGCCAGUCUGAUUCACCUCUUUAGAUCUCUUCCAUCUGCUCUUAUUUUCCUUUGUUAGGGGACUGGCUUAAGCUGUGUCAGAGCUGUGUUCCCCUUUAUUUUCUCUUACUUUCCAAGUAACGCUUUUGCUGUACAUUAAUACUGUUGCUUUAGUUCCAAUUUCUGUAAUCAUGAAAGCAAGGACCCAUACUAGCUGGUGACAAAGUGUUUGCAACUAAAUCCUUUCUCUUUUGUGCUCCAUUUCAUUGUACUGCAUGACAACCAUUAAGUAUUUAGAGAAAAACUGAUGGCGGAAAAAAGCCUUUAAUUGGAUUUGGAUGGAAAUGCCCUGAUUAGAAGCCUAAAUUGUGUAAGACUAAACACUGUACAAUUCAUAUAAAUCUGGAAAUAAAGAAUUUCUGGUAUUUGUGUAGGUUAGUUCCUGAGCCCAUGUGAUAUGAAAGCUCCCCUGAGGAGCUUCUACCUGCUCUUCUGUUUCUGCCACUCUUAAACCCUCACUUCCAGGUGUCAACUUGUUAUGUCACCUUGAAGUUUCUGUGAUCAUAUUAUAAGGACUAUUGUAUUAACAUUGGACCCAGCUGGAUAAUCUAGGCUACUCUCUCACAUUUGAAGAUCCUUAACUCAAUCAUACAUGCGAAGUUUUUGCCGCUCACAGGUUAUGGGGAUCAGGGCAUAGACCCUCCCCCACAACUUAAUUGGAUUGAAAUUAUUCUCUAUGUGAUUCCAAAUAACUGACCUCCAACCUGAAUGUGUAUAAUUCAUGUGAACUUCUAAACAUUCCUUUCCCACCCUUUCAGCUUCAAAAGGUGAUAUAUUGUGCUUUCAUCAUCAAUCAUCAUCAUCAUCAUCAUCAUCCUGAGAAAGUCUAAAACAUAAUUACAGAACUUUAAGGUAAAGUAACAUCAAAUUUCUACUAGUCUAGGAUCAGUUGAGUAUUUAUUUCUAUGUUCUUGAGGCCUGGAGAUGGAAAAUAAAACACUUGAAUUUAUUUAUAAAAUUCUCACUUAAAUAGUCUUCCACAAUCCCCAUUGAAUCCCUGGCAACUUACUCUUCCAAUGGUUUCCUUCUUUAGCAAAGAGCAUCGAGAGAGUAUUAAACUUGAUGUAAUAAAAAUGUUCAGCAUCUUGAUCAAGGAAACAGAUAUACAUUUUCUAGUAUGAUUAGACAGAAUUUGAAGUCUCUUCAGAUCUUCAAUUUCUAUGAUUCUGUUGAAGGGUUUCUUAAAAUGAUAUUGAUGCUAAUAUCAAUGUAAUACAGUACUUUAAAGAAACUGCCAAUCUGUAACUCACUCUAGUAUUGCUCACUAGUGAACUUCUGUUGCUAAAGUUUUUCAAAGGCCUAUCACAUAGUUUGUCAAUAAUUUUCAGUGAUCCUUGUACUUGGUACCAGUGUAGUAAAAAAAGAGCUGAGAUUUAUAGUUGAAUGAAUCUGGACUCAGAUUUUAGCAAUGCUAUAGGCAUGUAUGCCAAUUUCUCUAAACUAUUGCUUCCUUAGUGGAAAAAAGGGAAUAGCAAGACCCAUAUUGCAGGGACUGGGGAAUUAGAUGUGAUAAUGAUGGAAAGUACUAGGUGCUGCCUACUGCAUAGUAGACACUCAAUAAAUGCUAACCCCAGACAUUCUGCCAAUGUUUAUCUUCUCCAGUGUGUGGCAGGAACUGAGCUUGGCUCUAAUUGCUUCCUUUUCCUCAUCAAAUUCAUCAUCUUUCACAGAAAAGAAGCAAACUGCCUCUAAUUUGACCCCUAACGACCUUGUCAAACUGUAUUAAUGUCCAUAAUAAAAAACAAGAGCAAAUAUGUUAAUGAAUAGUAAGAUUAUAGUUCUAGUGUAAAGAAUAAUUAAUUGUUAGCUUGAGUGAAGCUCCAUGUCUUCUGAUGGCUGCUGUUAUAUAAAAUUAUGAACUGUAAGAAACAAAAGGCCAGUAAUGGUCACAUGUGGCUGGCACGAGGGACUGUUAUAGUCCAGGAAUUCUCAGGUCAAAGAUAUGUUAAUUAUUGAAACAAAACAUGACUAUAAUCUAUUCUUUAUUGUGCUGUUUUUAUAAACAAAUUUGUUACAACUUUUAGCUACACUGUUUGUUUUCUUUCCUUAUUUAUGAUAGGAACAAACUGAUCAAAAUUAGAUGUAAAAACGUGUUAGUCUUUUCAGUUUCUUAUUUCUUUCAAACUUUUCUGACAUAUUUUGUGCUCCUUAAAUACAGAGAAAGAUUAUGUUGUUAAAUGUCAAAGGUAGAUGUCUCAACAUUAUGUUCCUCUACCUUGGGUCUGAACAGCAAAUGCAUUUGAGGUCAUUAUACUCCCAAAAUAAGAAAUGUAUAUUGUUCUGAAAUUUCUCAAGUUUAGCUCUCUUUCCUUAGACCAGCAUUGUUGUAUCUUAUUUGGGACUGCCAAUGCAGGUUAUAGAUUCAGCAGUGGUAUAAUAGUUACAUUCCCAUCUACCCAUUCCUUGUGAUUAAAAAAAAUUUUUUCUUAAUGAAAUUAUUUUUUCUUUAUACCUCACAUACAUGUAUUUUAGAAAACACACUUAUGCCUCUAAUAUCUGUAAACUAUUUUGGACUCUGAAUGAUUAACUUCCGUCUUACGUUGCUUAGUAAGAAGUAGUCUGAAGUUCACUCAUUGAAACACACACAUGCACAUGCACACACACCUGGCACAGAGCCUCUUUAUGUAGUAAAAAAAGGAGUAGAGUAUUCUGUGGUACAGAAUCAAGGGUGUAGAGGUUGGGCCUGUUAGUUAAAAUUAAUUUAACUUGAAUGUUCAUUUACUACCCCUUUUAUAAUUAUUAUGCCUCUCAAGACUUAAUGAAAUUUCAGAACAUGACACUGAUGGGGUAGUUUUGUUACUAAAUAAAUUCUGGAUAAAUAAAAUUCAAAGCCAAGAAUCUGAAAGCUUCAUUGCUGCAGGAAUAUAAAUUCACUGAAUUAUUAGUGGGAACCAAGGAAAUUUGUAAGCUUUAAAUUUAUCUCAAUUCAGAAAAGAGCACUAGAGAUAUUUUGCUACUUAAAUUGUGUGUACUUAUCAAGAUUAAAGGAUUUUUCUUAAGCCAAAUUAUAGCUCUCUAGUACUUCCUGUGGAAACUAUCUAGCAUGACUAUUAAUGUGUAGCUCAUCUUCUCAGAGAGUCAUUACUAAUUGUAAAUUACUAUUAAGUAUGACUAUGCUCUUAAUUACAGUAGGUUUUGGACUGGUCAGUAGAAGGUCAGUGGAGAGGAAUCAUUUUCCCUUCCAAUAAUGUGAAUGGCAUAUAUCAUGAUUUAAAAUUUUCUAGCGUCCUUAAAAUUUAAAAAGUAUGAUUAUCAACAUUAUAAAUUAAACCUUAUGCAUUAUGUUCUCUCAUACAAAAUCAGAAGUCCACUGAUUUCACUUAUCUCUAAUGUGCUUCUAUUUCCUAUAUAAGAAGACCUUAGACUCAGUUUACUAGUGUAAAUUAUUACUUUUUAGUAUUACACAUGUUCUUUUUCAAGAAUUAUUAUGUUUUCACCCUGUUUUAUAUUGCUGUAAAAUAAUUAUACAAAAGAUUCUAUAUUAAAAAAGCAUUAAUCUUCUUUAUUAUUCUUUGUUAAAUAAUUUACUCAUCCUUGGACUCUAUUUUGAUUUUUCUUUUUCGGCCUUUAGGAUUUUUUAGUCUUUAGAAAUCUGUGGGGCUUGUUUUAUUACUACUUAUCAUUUUAUCCAAAAUGUGGUAUUUUGAUAAUUUUGUUUUAUUUUUUCUUAUUAUUUUAUUUAAUUGCUGUGGAGAAGAGCUCUGAGGACAAGCUGAGUUUUUUUUCCUUUACAAGUAAUAUUUUCCCCCUGCAAAACCCAACCUCCUCUGCCUGACUCCUUAUAAGAAAUUAACUUUCCUUUCGACAUUCAAAUAUUUAACCAGGAUAUGACCAAGUGCUGAUCUCAUCUUAAUAUUGUUGCUGGCUAUAUGAUGAACACCUUUGAUCUGCAAAAUCAGAUCGUCAGCUCAGGGAAGUAUUUUUCUAUGUGCAUAACUUUUAUUUUGAUUUCAGUACUUCUUUCUCAUUUUCAUUUGUCUGUGAUCUAAGAGAGGGAUUCUGUCUUCUCCUUUACACAGGUAAUUCAGUUUCCACAGUAAUGAUUCUACUCUUUAUUGGUUAUAAUGCAGUUUAAAAUUUUAAUUAUAGUAAUAUUAGUCUCUUCCUAUUUUUCAUAUUUACCUAGUUCACUUUAUUUUUCUGUAUAUGACAAUGAUCUAAUCUUUCUCCUUUGUCUCAGAGUUGUUUUAUUGAAAUUUAUUAUGAGCACAAAGCAGGUGCUAUCUGAAUUUGAUUUCUGUUUUAAUAUAUAAUUUUUUCAGGUAGAUAGGUACUCUGUCUCUGUUUUUUGAUUACAGGGUUAUCUACCUUGGUUUUGCAGAAUCUUUUCAUAUAUUCUAUAUUGUUUAUCCAUCCUUGAACAUGAAGAGAUUGAGUUAGGCCUGACAUUAAGUAUAAAUCAGGUAGGAAGUUUCUGUGUGGGUCCUCAAUUCCUAAUAUGCCUAAAUCCAUUAGGUUAGACUCUUCGGUGUUUAGAUUGGAGGACUAGCUGAUGUAAGUUUUCAUGGUUAGGUCAGUGAUCUCACCAGCCAGUUAGGCAUGGAGAAAGAUGUAGGGCUUUAGGAAAGUCCAGAAGAACCAAUUUGUCUCUGAACCAUUACUCCCUGAGUUUGGUGAGGCAUGGGCACUGGGAGUGACCUUUUUGUGUCUGUUGUAUCCACUGCGUCAGCUUUUGCACCUACUCUGUGUCCCUGUCUGAUCUCUUUACUACUGUCCAAGGCUCAGAAGAGCUCCCCAAUACUAACAGAUGCCAGUCAUUCUGGAAUUUUCCCUUUAAUAGGCCACACUUACUUUUAAUAUCCCUCAAAGAGCUGCUUAUCAUCCAUGGUGGUGAAGUGGUUCCUAAUGGAAAGUUCUCUAUUUCUUCUGCUAGCUACCAUUGCAAAGGAAAAGAAAUAAAAAUCUAAUUCUCCCUCCUCCCUUUAGGGAGUGUGAGUGUGUUCUAUCUAUUUGCUUAAUAAAUAUGCGUUAAAUUUAAUUAUUGUUGAAUUGUCUUCCUACAGUUUUAAGUAGAAUGACCCCUCCUACGUACCAACAACAACAAAAAAGAUUAUCAGAAAUUUCUGGAAAUACAGCUUUUGUAAAAUAACACUUCUGACAACCAAUCUAACAACUUCAGUGAUGAUAUUGCUUAGGGAAGUUCAGGAGUCUAAUUCUACAGCAAAUUUCAGGUGGAAUGUCCUUCUUAAGGUAGCCACCCACCAUCGCAGGUCAGUAAGUAACAGUGACUUUCACUCUUUUAAAGGAAAAACACUAAUGCAAAUGUUGAUCAACAUCUAUUAACAAUGACUGAGCAAUGCUCAUUGCUUGGAAAGGUGAGAGGGUUAAAAUUUGAAUCAUUUUCUGAGGAAACCUGUUCAAGUCAGGCUAUAACUUCAUACUUCUGAGAGCAUGACAGGAUUGUAUCCCUAGGAUUUUUCUUCAAAUCUCUAGAUUCUACUUUUUCCGCCUUGUUUUUUGUUUCUCUUGAGCACUUCCAUGCCCAGACUAGGAGGCUAUUUUAGUAUCACUGUUCCGUAAAUUCUUUAGAUUAACCUUUAGUGGCACCAAAAUAGCCUAAGUAUGUGGAUAUACAGAUCUUAAUUAAUUUUUAAGGCAUAAUAGAGUUCCUAGAUACAAUAUAUGUUUUAAAAAAGAAAAGAAUUAGAAAACAGCUUAUCUAAGGAACUUACAAAUCAAUAAGAUAAACAACCAUACCAAAUGAGAAGCAGAAAAUAUAAGCAGACAUUUCACAGAAGAAAAAAUCCAGGUGAUCACAAACAUAGAAAGAGACAGCCUUACUAAUACCCAGAGAAAUACAAAUUAAAACAUCCUGAUGACAUUUCACAACAGUAAAAUUGACAGAGUCUAGGAAGUUUGUUAAAUGAAGUGUUGGUAGGGGAAAAGAAACUCUUAAUCACUGAUGGCAGAAGUACCAAUUGAUACAACUGCUUUGGACAGUGAUUUUGUGAUAGUAAGCAGAGUCGACUAUCUAUCUAUCUAUCUAUCUAUCUAUCUAUCUAUCUAUCUAUCUAUCUAUGUCCUAUGACCUUCCAUUUGGCUUCUGGGUUUCCAUCCUAGCGAAAUCUUUGUACUUCUCUGAGCCAUUCUUUUAAUAACAAUAAAUUGGAAAUGACUCAGAUGUCUAUCAGCAAGAGAAUGGAAACUACUAAACUGUGGUAUAUUGAUGAAGAUGGAAUGUUAUGCAAUACCAAAGUAAAUGAACAUUCUCAUAUGUCAACAUGGACAGGUUUUAAAGGCAGUGUUGAAUGAGAAAAAGGGAUUACAUUUUGAUACCACUUAUUUAAAUUUAAAAUGGCAAGCAAUGGUAAUACAGCAUUUAAUGAAUAUAUGUGAAUAUAUACACAUUGUAUGAUUAUAUGUGUGAAUUAAAUAUAUUUCAUUUUAGAAGAGUUUAUCUUCUAGGAUUGGAGAGAUGUAAAUGUAUCUGUGGAUGGAAAAAGAGAAGAUGGCAAUUUUCUUGUAAUGUGUGUGCCCAUUUCCUUAAAUAAAAGAGCUCUGGAAGUAAAUACUGCAAAGCAUGGCUCACUUACAAUAGUGGGUACAUUAGUAUUUGCUGUAUUUCCUUGUAAAUAUUAGGCUUUUGUAUUAAAAAAAAAAAAGGGAUCCUGUACAUAUACUCUUUGGGCCCCUAAUCUGUCACUAAAUUCUCUGCUGGUCCUAUGGGUGCCAGAACAUCAGCAACAUGCUGGAGGGCUUGCCUGUCCUUUCUGCACAUGGGAAGCUGUUUUCUAGCUCUUGAUUUUGUCUAGACAUAGUUUUUCUGCAGUGUUUUUCUCAGCUGCACAUAUGUUAAAUACCUCUGAAAAGUGACAUCAAUCCACUUUCAGGGGAGAAACAAUUUUAAAACUGCAAUUCAUCUGCAAUGAUUCUUAUUUUUAAUAUUUUAGGAUAAAUAUUAAAAUGUCAUCUAAAUGACAACAGUGCAAAUAAUGGAUUUUUAUACUCAGACAUUAUUGUUAUCUACUUCAUCUGCAAUGUUAUUUGAUACCUUAGGAGAACAAGAUUCUUUAUAAAAGUAGAUUGUGAUCUCUCUGUUUUAAAACACAACAUGAGAGGUAGACAUCUUUUCUUCUUACAUUUCCAAUCUAAUAAUCCUCCUUUUCAAUAGCCUUAGUGUUAUAAAAAAAUAAAAUUCAGAAAAAGAGUUGUACUUCUAUGGACCUCACCAGAAUCAUGUGGAGGGUUUUGAAGUGUUUUAAAGGAAAUUUCUGCCUUGCCUUAGGCUAGAGUAAGGGCUAGGAGUGAAGAGGGUGGAUCCAUAGGAAAGAAGGCUCAGCUCUGGUGUGAAGUGCUGUGGUGAUUAGAGGAAAUGACUUAUCAGUUCCUUUGUGAUCUCCAAAAGAAACCAUUUGUGAAAUCAAUGGCUGCCUGGCAGAGCCCAUCAACUGGCGGUCAAAGAUAUAUAUCUUCAUUACUAUCAGUUACCUGUGUCCUUUGGGUGGCUAGAAGGGACCUAAAUUCUAUAGGCCAGAGCACCAUCAUGAGUAAAGGCAUCACACUGAUUUACAUGCAAUUAUUAUAUGCAAGGGGAAGCUUGGCACUACUUUAUCUUACAGGAAAUCAAAUGCUGGCUUAACUGUUAUUAUCUAGACAGCUUAAUAUGUUCCUUAUGAGAAAAUUUCCAAUCUAUAUCAACCCACUUACAAGAACUAAUAGAUAGAGUGGAAAACAUAAAAUAUAAUUACUGUGGCAAUGAUGUGCACAAUCACUUCAGCUGCUGGGCUACUUUGGGAUGUUUAAACAGCUAAUGUGAAGUCAGGAAGGGGAGAACAUUUUUCUGAUUAGUGCUGUGUAGGGAAUACUGAGAAAAAGUACAUAGAAAAUGCUUGUAGCCAUGUGAAAUAGCCCAAGUGGAGCUGAAAUAAGACCCCCUUUCAUCCUACAAGUUAUUUUGGGGUUAGAAUGUUUAAAUAAAAACAAGAUGGAUAGUUCCUCAGGAUUUCAGAGCUGGAACAGAGAACCUUUUGCUGAGGCAAGGAGGAAUGGUGGAGGCAGUCACAUUCCAAUGAAAAAGUCCUCUACCAUGGAGGUUUGGCUCAGAAAGCAGUGGCUGGGCAUCUGGAGCCUGAAGACUUACACCUUUUAAUGGGGAAUACCUCUUUUUUUAAAUUUUUUUAAAUUUUUUUUUUUGGGGGGGCGAAAUAUCUCUUUAUAGGUCCUUGGAAAUUUUGGAUCCUUGUGGUCUGGCAUGGCUAGGAGAUUGCAUCGUAGUGUAAAUAAGCCACACUGGGCUUCAGCAUUUUUCUUCUAAACAAUUCAAAUAGACCUUAAGAUAGUUAUUGGGACUUUGUGGGGUGAGGGUCACAUAAAUAACAGCUCACUUGCCCCUUUGGAUUUAGAAGUCAUUGAAAAAUAUAUUACUGGAAAGGACGUGGCUAAACAUCAAAAUGCCAUGUUUAGUGGUUCAGUUGAAUUGGAACAACUUGGAUCUGCAACUACCAGUACUUUCUCUGAAUGAAGCUCACUACCCAGCCACAGGCCUCUCCUAAGGCAGGACACUCAGGUUAUAUUCUGGGACACGGCUGUUCCUAUAGUUUGAAGGCUGAGGCCCAUGGUCCAGCCCUUCUCCCCAGUUCACUCAACUACUCAGGGAGGAGAAGGAGGAGGAAGAGGAAAAAGAAGGGAGUAGUAAGAGGCAGACCCAAAUAUUUCUCCCACACUUUUCCUGCUUAAUGUUUCUCUGUAUAGAAAUAUGAAAAGUAUUAUAUUAUCUCUAUAAUGGUCCUUGACCAUAUCAAAGAUCUAUUUAUUCUAAUUACAUCUUUGGGCUAAGAUUAGUCAACAUAUAGGAAUAUAUAUUUUGGAAUUGCCAGGAGCACUCAGAUAUCAACUCUGGGAAAUUAUAAACUAACAGUUAUUGAGUAUUAGCCAUGUCAGUCUAAGCUGCUCAUCUACAGAUGCAAAAUCAAAAGCCCUUAUAAGAGCAAUUUGCUCAGGGUCAGAGUUAGUUAACUGCAGGCUGGGACCAGUAGCCAGGGUUCUUUCUCCUUGGGUAAGGCUUCCUUUUAAGGAACUGUAUUCAUAUCAGUACUGGGAUAUUACUAGUAAAUAUUUUGGUGGGAGUGGUGCUACUUACAAUCUGACAAUCUCUGUUCCAAUAACAUGUUAUCCUAUUUCAUCCUUACAAUCAUAGUGAAAUUGAUAAUAUAAUUGUUUUCAUUUAACAGAUAAAAAAAUUCAUUCUCUAAGAGAGAAGAGAGACUUGUCCAAGGUCAUUCAGCAAAUGAGUGAGGACUCAGAUCCACCCAACAUUCUUCCCUAAAUCAAAGCUAUGAAAGAUCAUUAGGGAAGAUCUUGCCUAAUCUUCCAAUUCUACUGCACGGAAACAGGAAGUAUGAUUCCAAAGAAUGGGCCUAUGAGUGCACUUCCAAACCACAGCUAAUUUUCCCUAAGAGUCUUCCGGAUGGUGGGUUUUUUGAGUACUUUCCAGAAAAAAAAAGUCAAUUAAUAUCUUACUGUUACUUGUACAUAGAAUUGUAUAUAACUGUUCAAUAAAUUGCAAAACAGAGCCUCUGGCUUCACACAUUACUGAUAAUGAACAUCAGAACUUUGGUUGGUUCAAUUAACACAUUGUAAUUUCACUCAAUGAGAUGACUUUCAAUUAAAAACUUGUUAACUGCAUACAGAGACUAGAAGAAAGGCCAAAUGCUAACAUGUGGCAUCCUUUAAUUACAUGAAGAAAUGUUUGGAAUUCAAAGGUGAUGGGAAGCAUUUUGAUCUCCGCAUAAUGAACAAUUGUUCAUUAUCAUAGUCCUAUCGAAUUCUAAUUACUUACAGGAAUUAUAUGAUCCCUUAAAUAUUAGAAGUGGCAAAUACAGUGUAUACAAUAUUUUCAUGAAGUAAGAUUACUACAGGUUUAAUAGUGAAAUACAGUGAAGUCUUCCAAAAUUUUUGUUGUGUUUAUGCAGAGUCAGUGAGGUAAACAAUACAGUUAGAAUCAGGCAGACUACCAGAUAACAUGUUGACCUUCACUUUCUUCCCACUUCCUUCAGACAAAGGAAGCUUGGGAGGAGUAACAGGGGUACCUGCAGAUAACGUUUAAAAAGGAAAGAUGGUCAAGACAUGAGCUCUUGAGCCACAGAUUUUUAACUAUAUCACUUUCCCAGAGGAAAGUUAACUUUCUAUGGGGAAAGUUAAUCAAUGCAGAACUGGAAAAUCUGCCCGGAUAAAGAAUAGUCUGUGGUGCUGAAGUUUUGGCCCCAUGUUCUAAUGUUGAACUUGAUCAGCUAGGGGUACUUGAAGGACUCUUGCUGAGAUUGGCCAGGCCCAAGCUGUCUAAAAUGAAAAGUUCAAACUGUCUAAAAUGAAAACAGGAUAAAACUUUGGCUUUUUUCUCCAAAUUUGAAGGACCCAUUCUUAAAUUUUAGCAUUUCCAUGAGGGGUUGCCUGGUCAGGAGUAUAGAUUCCAGUGAAGGAGGCCUGAGGAAGUCAGAGUCACUCAUUGGUAGGCCACAGAUCAUGGCUGGUCCAUAGACAUAUUUUGUUCGGCUUAAGUAGUGUUUAAUUCUUACCUAAUUUUAGAAUCAAGAGACUUCUACAUGAAAUAAUUGUAUUUCUAGCUCUCUUUAAAAGUCAAGAUGUAGCUAGCUUAGCUCAUGUUUUUCCUGGAGGCUGGAGCUACACUGUGGCUACCCAUUCAGGUGAGAUAUAGACUCCUCACUUUGUUUUGUUUUGUUUUUUUUGGUACCGAGGCUCGAACUCGGGUCCUUGCGCUUGCGCAGCAGGUGGCAAAACCACUGAGCUAAAUCCCCGGCCCGAUAGACCCCUCACUUUGCACAGAGCAACCCACCACCAUUUGACCCCAGCUCUAUCUGCCUCUUCACAUAUAUUAUUUGCCUGAGCCUCUAGUGUUGGGCUUUACAACUUCUGCUUGAUCUGGAUUCCUGGAGAACACUAGGAAAUAUAACCAAGUAAAGAUGCAGAGACCUUUCCACCACAACGUUAGUAGUCUGACAUAGUCAGUUCCUUGGUUUGGGGCAGUACUGUCUGUCCUUUGAAAAAAGGAGGGCAAUAAAACAUGGUGAAAAUCCUCAGAGGAAGAAAAGAGGGAGAGAAACACUGAUGCAGGUAAGUGCCUCCAGUACAGUAUCCUUCUUGGAACAGGUAGGUAAUGAACUCUCUUUGCCCUUGACUACCCCAAAACAAAUUGCCAUUUAAUUUUUUAAUUAAGCUGAAAAAAUAUCAGCCAGUGAAAAGUACAUCAAGCCAAUUCUGCUUUCUUGAACUACUUAACCAUUAACCUUCAUGCUCACAUCUACUUUGGUGAAAAGGACAUCUAUAUUUCUGGGAUAUUAAGGAAAAAAUCUUGCUCAUCACUGACUGUAAAAUGUAGUUCUCUUGCUACAUUUAUAAAACUGUACAGGUAAAAUGAGCUGUGGAUUUGAGAAUGUGGGUGACACAGGAGAGGAAAGACCAGGGAUAGCACAGCCCAUCAUCAGUAUUCAGAUUGUUGAAAUGUUGCCCAUGAAUUAAUUUGUUUAUUCAGGGCUCCCUGAGUAAUUCAUUCCCGUUAUCUUCACUUCUGAAUAAUGAGUUUGUAUCUUUUGAACUUCAUGCUAUUUCUAAAUUGGCCUUAAAACUCAUUUCACAUUUUAGAAUAAUAAUUCCUUUGUAUUAAAAACUAUGUGGACAAGGACGUAAUAAAUAAAAUCCUUUGGACCAAAGGAGACCUGAGUCAUAGUCUCUGCUCUUCUGUGAACCACUGUGUUACUCAGUGUGGUCAUACCACCUCUCUGAGCCUUACUUUUUACUUUGUAAAGAAGAUAUGAGAACUGGAUGAUCUUUCAGACUUUUUGAAAUUUUUAUAUUUUGAGAAACAAAGAAUUGGGAGAUGUUCUUAAAUUCGAGGCAGGCUGGUACCACUGGAUACUAACAAAUAAGUAAAACAUAGUAGUUUCCCUCUGGGUUUCUUUAUGCAAAGACCUAUUUUGAUCACUUUCUUUUUUUUUGAAAAAGCAUACUUAAGCUAGAAAAUCAUAAGAAAUAACACAUACUUUAGAUAUUUUAAGUUAUCACACAUUUAUUUUCUAAUAUUUCAUAGGGCUAAGGACUUUUUUUUUAUUUUUGGGUCUGUUAAUUAGUCAUCCAUUAGAAACUUUGUGACUUCUAGGACUGAUUUAAUGUGGAGCAAGAAUUUAGCCAUUGAGAAAGUUUAUAACAUUUCUUACUUGGUUUCCUUUAUCAAGAUUAAGCAUUUAACUCAGUUUUCACAAUACUGUUUUUGCCUUUGUAUUUCAUUGGUUUAGUUAAUAUUUAAUUACAUUACAUAAUUGUUAUAAUGUGUGCAAAUAGCAUAAGCAAAGACAAUAAUGCUUGGUAAGGAUAGAGCUCAUAUGGAAUGCAGGAAAGUACUGGAUUUGGGGAUACUAUACAUUAGUGAUCAACAUGUUGAGGUCCUAGUUAGUACAUGGAUAAUAAAAAGUCAAUUAGGGGUGGGGAAGUAGCUGAGUCACAAAGUACUUGUCUAUCAUGCUUGAGUCCCUGUGUUCAGUCCCCAGUACUACUAAAUAAGAAAAUAAAUAGUCCAUAAAAUGUAAGUUGAUCAAUCAGACUGCCAAAUGAAUGUUUUCUCAGUUCAAAUUGAUUGCAGGUAAACAAAACAAUCCUAAUAAACUUAGGCAAGGAAAGCAAUUUAUUGGAAGGCUCUGAGAUGACACACUAAACUGAAGGGAAAGCCAAACAGCUAGUUCUCUGAAAAAUAAGAACUUGGGAAACACUGAUUAUCUCAGGAGCAGGCACUAAUGGACAAUCUCUUCAGGGUGUCAUCACUGGAUAAAUUGGCUCCAAAUGUCUUUUCAUCUUUUUGUCACUCUGAUCAAGACCAGACUCUCCAGGAGAGACUCGAAUUGGUCUAUGGCACAUAUGUACUAUCUUAAAGCAAAAACAACAACAACAACAACAAAAAAAACCAGACAAGAUAGAGAACUUCUACAAGACAGCAUGAACUGAGGAUGGAUCAUUCUCCAAAGGCAAUUUAGAAACUGUCACUAGAGGGAGGGAACUAUGCAUGGUGCGCCUAGGCCUAUAUAAGUGUAUUAGUCCAAUAAGAUACAUAGAGAUACAGAGAAAGUGAUUUGUUACGCAGAAUUGGCUCACAUAAUUAUAGAGGCAGAGAAGAUCCAGUUUUUGCUGUCUGCAAGCUGGAGCCUAGGAAAGGUAUAGUUUCACUCCAAAUCUGAAGGCUUGAGGGGCCGGGGAUUUACCUCAGUGGUUCUGCUGCCUACCUCGCAAGCGCAAGGUCCCGAGUUUGAUCCCCAGUAAGAACAACAAUAAAAAAGUGUACCAAAUCUGAAGGCCUGAGAACCAGAAAAGUCCAUGUUCAAGGCCAGAGAACAUGGAUGUUCUAGCUCUAGCAGAGAAAAUUCACCCUUCAUCUGCCUUUGUGCCCUACUCAGACCCUCAGUGGAUUGGAUGACGCCCAUUACCAUUGGUGAUGAGGAUCUUUUUUACACAGCCUACUGAUUCAUAUGUGACUCUCUUCUGGGCAGCCCUGUCAAGUUGACAUAUAAUUUAACCACCACAUUAAAUAUAUGUGCAGAAUAUAGCCUUAGCUAUGGGUUAACAGCGUAAGAGGUGACUAAUGAUUCUGGCUAGAAGGCAGCAAAGGAUGUUCACAAUACAAGAAAACCUUCAGUAGUUGAGUAUAGCAUUAAGCUUCCACAUCUAUUGUUUUCUGAAACUCUCAAGGUUGCAACCUUCAGAAGCUCUAUGCAAAAUGCACCAGUUUCCUUGACCAUCCACACUGUUUCAGCUGAGAGUAGGUGGGGAGGUCUAUAUUCUGGCCGUAGCUUGUUACUUAAUAAAUGUGUGAUCACGGGUGGGCCAUUGCUUCUGAAGCCC
rnacentral:lncRNA from 1 species